rnacentral:tRNA from 1 species
GCGGAGGUGGCACAAUGGUACUGCGAAGGCCUGCAGAGCCUUUUUUCGUGGGUUCGAUUCCCACCCUCCGCU